rnacentral:rRNA from 1 species
CCCUACGGGGUGCUGCUCGCUGCGGAAAAGGCAUCGAAGAUUUACAGUGAGAUAAAAAAUUCAAGUGCCUAUGUUUCUUCCAGGUACAGGUUAAUUUCGGAAUUUUAUGUCGAAUCGAGAAGUUUCCGGCUUAAAAACGGGAACAUUAUUGAAAAAAGCGUAAAGGUGAAGAUAAACGAAAAAGAGGUUUCCCCGUCUCUUUAUUCAGUUGAUUAUAUUUCCGGAUUUCUGUCAUUUACUGAUCCGAAUAAUCCGGUAAUAAGCUCUGACGCAAAAAUUGAAAUCAAGUAUGAGUAUCUGCCCGUGGGUGUGAACGCUGAAAAUUUUACGGGAGGUAUCCGGACUGAUUAUGACAUAAACAAAAUGCUCAGGAUUGGCGGGGGGGC